ensembl:lncRNA
GGCUUCAUCUGGGCCUGCCCUCUGCACACGUGUGGGGCCCAGGGGUUCAUCUGGGCCCACCCUUUGAAGGCAGGGAAAGCUGUUCUUACUCAGGGUUCCUUCCGUGGUGGGGUUCAGAGAAAGCUUUAUAGGGAGAGGCUGAGCAUGUUUUUUCGCAUAGCUCUGAGUGCUUAAACCACGUGGGUCGACACAAAGGGCCACACCCAAGGCCACACUGUGGGUCUCACCCAGCACAGCCCGGCGUCAGAAUCACCCACCACCAGGCGCUCCCAAAGCCCGAGUCGGAAGCUUCGAACAGCCCAGAGACGCACUCCUCUCCCUCUGGCUUCCAAAGCAACUGCGACCACACACUUUAGCACAAGGCUGCAGAGACAACUGGAAAGACGAGAAACAGCUUUUCAGAGACCAUUUAAUGAGGUAGCUGAGAUCAUCUCACAUCCAUGGCAGACAUAGGUUGCUUAAUGAGUUCACAGGCAUUUAAACAUAUUCGUAAAUGCAAACUGUGACCGUGCCUGAUAACUACUCUUUCUUCCCAAAUCCCAAAGGUGCAUGCAUGCCUUGCGAAGAGGCCCAGGAAGAGGGCGGCAGCAGGCCGGGAGGGAGGAGCUGGACGAGAGCUGAGGGCGGGCGUCUGGGGUGCUCCCCACACCACACCAGUGCAGGUGGACAGAGUCAAGUGGGACUCUGAGAAGGGCAGGGCUGAGCAGGGCUGGCAAGAGGGAGGCUUGCUUACCCCUCCACACCCCAGGACCACCCUCAGGAGGCUGCCCCCGCGGGGUAACCCCCGCAGGGGGUUUCCUCGCUGUCUGCUUGCAGGCCCAGGAUGCUCUGGAGAAGAGCUUCUCCACAGUCACCUCCCGAUGCCGCCCAGUGGGUCUCAGACGAGGAAAGGCCACGAGAUCAGUCUGGGGAGUGUGGCCUUCAUGAUGAUACCCCAACAUGCACACCCCCGUGUCACACACAUCCAUGUAUACACCCCCAUCCAUGUACACACCCCCAUGUGUAUACACCCCCAUGUGCACACACCCCCGUGUCACACACACCUGUGUGCAAAUGUGCUGUCACACCCAUACCACACCCAUGUCUCACACACAUAUCCCACACCUGUGUACACACACAUCACACCCGUGUUACACACACCCUGCACACUUGUGUACACACACCUGUGUCACACACACCCCCGUGUCACACACACCGGGCUCGCCCGUGGGCAUGACAGUCAGCAGCUGCUUCUGGAAGCCCAGGUUGGGGUUGGCACACGACCGGCCUGCGCGCACGGUGUGCAGGGCGUCCUCCCAGCCAAAGUCGGUGACCGUCAUGAUAUAGGCGACCACCAGGGUCACGCUCCUGGAGACGCCCGCCAGGCUGCAAGUUGAGAGCCAUACAGUAUGGCAAGGGGCAGUCAGCGGACUCAUCUGGGAAGCUGCCUGUCCUCGGUUAUGAGUGGGCAGCUAGCCAGUGCGUCCUCGGAAAUCACUCGGAAGCAUACCAGCUCUCUCUGCUUUACCACACUAGGGUCUCGGGCACUCCUCCCCCACGUGGCCUCAGUCUCGGUGGGCUGUCUACUGGCUCCAGACACUUCGUGUUAUGAUUCUCUUUCUCCUGACCUCCCCUUCAGAUAGUCCCCGUUCCCUGGACAGAAAAGUAGCGAGAGGACAUCUGGGAACUUGAAGGAUCCAGGAACCCAGCAAUAAGUCAGUUAUAACCACAGCCAUUCAGACAGCUUCACACUUUUAAAGUCUGAUUUUCUUAGGUACCUCUUCCCUGGUGGCUCAGAGUAAAGAAUCUGUCUGCAGUGGAAGAGACCCGGGUUUGAUCCCUGGGUUGGGAAGAUCCCCUAGAGGAAGAAAUGGUAACCCACUCCAAUAUUCUUGCCUGGAAAAUCUCAUGGAUAGAGGAGCCUUCUGGGCAACAGUUCAUGAGAUCGCAAAGAGUCGGACAUGACUGAGUGACUAACACUUUCUUAGGCACAUAGUGGUUAUCACUUAAAAAACUCAUUAAAUACAGACGCCCUUACCCAACAUUCUCUGAUCUCCUCCACAGACCCAAGCAGAGUACCCGCGUGGCACACUCCACGUGCUCUGGGGGGUGGGGGUGGGGACGCUCUGCAGGUGAUAAUGGCCAGUUUUCUCCAGCAGGCUGAAUAAGGGGGCCAAUUUUAAA